rnacentral:rRNA from 1 species
GUGUCAGCCGCCGCGGUAAUACGGAGGGUGCAAGCGUUAUCCGGAUUUACUGGGUUUAAAGGGUGCGCAGGCGGAUAUGUAAGUCAGUGGUGAAAUCUCCGGGCUUAACCCGGAAACUGCCGUUGAUACUAUAUAUCUUGAAUGCCGUGGAGGUAAGCGGAAUAUGUCAUGUAGCGGUGAAAUGCUUAGAUAUGACAUAGAACACCUAUUGCGAAGGCAGCUUACUACACGGAGAUUGACGCUCAUGCACGAAAGCGUGGGGAUCAAACAGGAUUAGAUACCCUGGUAGUCC